AAAGGAACCGAAAGGUUGGUAGAGGAGCAUUGCAUGCGGGAGGAAGCAGUACCGUAAGGAGCUGUGGACUGCAUGGAAGAGAGAAUGCCGGAAUGAGUAGCGAGAUAGAGGUGGGAAUCCUCUAGGCCGAAUAUCCAAGGUUUCCAGAGUAAAGCUGAUCUGCUCUGGGUAAGUCGGGGCCUAAGGCGAGGACGAGAGUCGUAGCCGAUGGACAACAGGUGGAGAUUCCUGUACUGCGGUAUGACAGAACUGUGGGGACACGUAAGGAAAGCGGAAGCCGGGAAUGGAAAGCCCGGUGCAAGCGGGGUACCAGUCAUUUUGGCAAAUCCGGGUGGCAAUGGGAAGCCGUGAUGCGGAGCGAAAUAAAGUAGCGAAGUCCGUGAGCCAUGCGUCAAGAAAAGCCGCUAUCGUUUAUACCGUACCCGUACCGUAAACCGACACAGGUGGAUGAGGAGAGAAUCCUAAGGCCGGCGGAAGAAGCGUUGUCAAGGAACUCGGCAAAAUGGCCCCGUAACUUAGGGAUAAGGGGUGCCUGGGAAGCCAGGCCGCAGAGAAUAGGCUCAAGCAACUGUUUAGCAAAAACACAGGUCUAUGCGAAACCGAAAGGUGAGGUAUAUGGGCUGACGCCUGCCCGGUGCUGGAAGGUUAAGAGGAGAGGUUAGCGGUAACGCGAAGCUUUGAAUUUAAGCCCCAGUAAACGGCGGCCGUAACGAUAACGGUCCUAAGGUAGCGAAAUUCCUUGUCGGGUAAGUUCCGACCCGCACGAAAGGCGUAAUGAUUUGAGCGCUGUCUCGACAAUGCAUCCGGUGAAAUUGAAGUACCAGUGAAGAUGCUGGUUACCUGCGCCAGGACGGAAAGACCCCAUGGAGCUUUACUCCAGUCUGGUACUGGGACUCGGUAUUGCAUGUACAGGAUAGGUGGGAGGCUAGGAGAUGGUAACGCCAGUUGCCAUGGAGCCGCUGUUGGGAUACCACCCUUGCAGUAUUGGGUUUCUAACCAGCCGCCGUGACCCGGCGGUGGGACAAUGCCAGACGGGGAGUUUGACUGGGGCGGUCGCCUCCGAAAGGGUAUCGGAGGCGCCCAAAGGUUCCCUCAGAAUGGACGGAAACCAUUCGAAGAGUGCAAAGGCAGAAGGGAGCUUGACUGCGACACCGACGGGUGGAGCAGGUACGAAAGUAGGGCUUAGUGAUCCGGUGGUAUUAAGUGGGAAUGCCAUCGCUCAACGGAUAAAAGCUACCCUGGGAUAACAGGCUUAUCACUCCCAAGAGUUCACAUCGACGGAGUGGUUUGGCACCUCGAUGUCGGCUCAUCGCAUCCUGGGGCUGUAGUAGGUCCCAAGGGUUGGGCUGUUCGCCCAUUAAAGCGGUACGCGAGCUGGGUUCAGAACGUCGUGAGACAGUUCGGUCCCUAUCCGGCGUGGGCGUAGGAUAUCUGAGAGGAGCUGUCCUUAGUACGAGAGGACCGGGAUGGACGGGCCGCUGGUGCAUCGGUUAGACUGCCAAGUCUACGGCCGAGUAGCCAAGCCCGGAAGGGAUAAACGCUGAAGGCAUCUAAGCGUGAAGCCCCCCUUAAGAUGAGAUAUCCCAUUCGAAAGAAGUAAACCCCCUUGAAGACGACGAGGUAGAUAGGGCAGAGGUGGAAGUGCAGUAAUGCAUGGAGCUGACUGUUACUAAUCGGGUGAGGGCUUGAUCAA
rnacentral:rRNA from 1 species